rnacentral:rRNA from 1 species
CAUAGGUUAAUGAGGCGAACCGGGGGAACUGAAACAUCUAAGUACCCCGAGGAAAAGAAAUCAACCGAGAUUCCCCCAGUAGCGGCGAGCGAACGGGGAGCAGCCCAGAGCCUGAAUCAGUGUGUGUGUUAGUGGAAGCGUCUGGAAAGGCGCGCGAUACAGGGUGACAGCCCCGUACACAAAAAUGCACAUGCUGUGAGCUCGAUGAGUAGGGCGGGACACGUGGUAUCCUGUCUGAAUAUGGGGGGACCAUCCUCCAAGGCUAAAUACUCCUGACUGACCGAUAGUGAACCAGUACCGUGAGGGAAAGGCGAAAAGAACCCCGGCGAGGGGAGUGAAAAAGAACCUGAAACCGUGUACGUACAAGCAGUGGGAGCACAGAGCAAUCUGUGUGACUGCGUACCUUUUGUAUAAUGGGUCAGCGACUUAUAUUCUGUAGCAAGGUUAACCGAAUAGGGGAGCCGAAGGGAAACCGAGUCUUAACUGGGCGUUAAGUUGCAGGGUAUAGACCCGAAACCCGGUGAUCUAGCCAUGGGCAGGUUGAAGGUUGGGUAACACUAACUGGAGGACCGAACCGACUAAUGUUGAAAAAUUAGCGGAUGACUUGUGGCUGGGGGUGAAAGGCCAAUCAAACCGGGAGAUAGCUGGUUCUCCCCGAAAGCUAUUUAGGUAGCGCCUCGUGAAUUCAUCUCCGGGGGUAGAGCACUGUUUCGGCAAGGGGGUCAUCCCGACUUACCAACCCGAUGCAAACUGCGAAUACCGGAGAAUGUUAUCACGGGAGACACACGGCGGGUGCUAACGUCCGUCGUGAAGAGGGAAACAACCCAGACCGCCAGCUAAGGUCCCAAAGUCAUGGUUAAGUGGGAAACGAUGUGGGAAGGCCCAGACAGCCAGGAUGUUGGCUUAGAAGCAGCCAUCAUUUAAAGAAAGCGUAAUAGCUCACUGGUCGAGUCGGCCUGCGCGGAA